rnacentral:rRNA from 1 species
GAUGAACGCUGGCGGCGUGCCUUAAGCAUGCAAGUCAAGGGGGCUCCGCAAGGAGCAACCGGCAGACGGGUGAGUAUAAGUAAGGAAUGUACCCCAAAGUGGAGGAUAGCUCGCCGAAAGGCGGGGUAAGCCUGCAUAUUAUCGUAAGAUCAAAGGACGUAACUGUCCGCUUUGGGAGCAGCCUUAUACCUAUCAGCUAGUAGGUAGGGUAAUGGCCUACCUAGGCUACGACGGGCAAGGGGAGUGAGAGCUUGACCCCCACCAA